rnacentral:rRNA from 1 species
AGAACGAACGCUGGCGGCAGGCCUAACACAUGCAAGUCGAACGCUCUCGCAAGAGAGAGUGGCGCACGGGUGCGUAACGCGUGGGAAUCUACCCUUGACUACGGAACAACGUCGGGAAACUGACGCUAAUACCGUAUAAUGACUCCGGUCCAAAGAUUUAUCGGUCAGGGAUGAGCCCGCGUUAGAUUAGCUAGUUGGUGAGGUAAUGGCUCACCAAGGCUACGAUCUAUAGCUGGUCUGAGAGGAUGAUCAGCCACACUGGGACUGAGACACGGCCCAGACUCCUACGGGAGGCAGCAGUGAGGAAUAUUGGACAAUGGGGGCAACCCUGAUCCAGCCAUGCCGCGUGAGUGAUGAAGGCCUUCGGGUUGUAAAACUCUUUUAGAUGUGAAGAUGAUGACGGUAACAUACAGAAAAGCUCCGGACUAACUCGUGCCAGCAGCCGC